CGAUCAUAUUUCACCAUCAUGGAUUAAAUAACAUCCUCCUGAUGGUCCUAGUCCAGUUAGAUUUUGAUAGUAAUAUAUAUCAUAUUGCUACGAUGUAUCACACAUAUCAUAGAGGAGCUAGUUUCUCCAAACUAAAAUUCAGUGGUGCAUGUUGCUAUUUUAAUUAUUCAUCUUUCAAGUUGAGGUUGUAAAUGGAGAAAUCAAAGCUUGGUGCAAUACAAGUGGGCGCCAAGUUAGGCUCAAAUGUAGUUUGGCCAAUUUGAGAGUGUUUAAAUAAUUAAGCAAGACUGGCUUAGUGAUUCGUAUCUUACUCCCAUCUGAAGGGAGCCAUGAGCUCAAGGCACAACAUGUGAUUUGUUUGUAGUAUGAAUAUUUGAAACUCACAAAAGGCCUU
rnacentral:lncRNA from 1 species